rnacentral:rRNA from 1 species
AGUGAACGCUGGCGGUAGGCCUAACACAUGCAAGUCGAACGGCAGCACAGUAAGAGCUUGCUCUUACGGGUGGCGAGUGGCGGACGGGUGAGGAAUACAUCGGAAUCUACUUUUUCGUGGGGGCUAACGGAGGGAAACUUACGCUAAUACCUCAUACGACCUACGGGUGAAAGCAGUGGAUCUUCGGACCUUGCGCGAUUGAAUGAGCCGAUGUCGGAUUAGCUAGUUGGCGGGGUAAAGGCCCACCAAGGCGACGAUCCGUAGCUGGUCUGAGAGGAUGAUCAGCCACACUGGAACUGAGACACGGUCCAGACUCCUACGGGAGGCAGCAGUGGGGAAUAUUGGACAAUGGGCGCAAGCCUGAUCCAGCCAUACCGCGUGGGUGAAGAAGGCCUUCGGGUUGUAAAGCCCUUUUGUUGGGAAAGAAAAGCAGCAGGUUAAUACCCCGCUGUUCUGACGGUACCCAAAGAAUAAGCACCGGCUAACUUCGUG